GAGCCCUUUUAAGGUUGAUACAAUGUCUUAGGAGGCUAACACAGAAGAGUAGAUAAAGUCUCCAUAAAACCCAGAGGCAAGAUGGUAAAACUCCCCUUUGGAUGCUGUCUGGAGUCACAGCU